UACAGAGGGUGCGAGCGUUAAUCGGAAUUACUGGGCGUAAAGCGCGCGUAGGCGGCUUUUCAAGUCGAACGUGAAAUCCCCAGGCUCAACCUGGGAACUGCGUCCGAUACUGGCAGGCUUGAAUCCGGGAGAGGGAUGCGGAAUUCCAGGUGUAGCGGUGAAAUGCGUAGAUAUCUGGAGGAACACCGGUGGCGAAGGCGGGUCUCUGGGCCGAUACUGACGCUGAGGCGCGAAAGCGUGGGGAGCGAACAGG
rnacentral:rRNA from 1 species